rnacentral:rRNA from 1 species
UACGUAGGGCGCAAGCGUUUGUCCGGAAUUAUUGGGCGUAAAGAGCUCGUAGGCGGUUUGUCGCGUCUGCUGUGAAAACUCGGGGCUCAACUCCGAGCUUGCAGUGGGUACGGGCAGACUAGAGUGCGGUAGGGGAGACUGGAAUUCCUGGUGUAGCGGUGGAAUGCGCAGAUAUCAGGAGGAACACCGGUGGCGAAGGCGGGUCUCUGGGCCGUAACUGGACGCUGAGGAGCGAAAGCAUGGGGAGCGAACAGG